UACGUAGGGUGCAAGCGUUGUCCGGAAUUAUUGGGCGUAAAGAGCUCGUAGGCGGUUUGUCGCGUCGAAUGUGAAAACCCGGGGCUCAACCCCGGGCCUGCAUUCGAUACGGGCAGACUAGAGUUCGGUAGGGGAGUCUGGAAUUCCUGGUGUAGCGGUGAAAUGCGUAGAGAUCCGGAGGAACACCAGUGGCGAAGGCGGCCCCCUGGGCCGCGCCUGACGCUGAGACGCGAAAGCGUGGGGAGCAAACAGG
rnacentral:rRNA from 1 species